UACAGAGGGUGCAAGCGUUUGUUCGGAAUUAUUGGGCGUAAAGCGCGUGUAGGCGGCUUUGCAAGUCGGGUGUGAAAGCCCUCAGCUCAACUGAGGAAGUGCGCCCGAAACUGCAGAGCUUGAGUGCCGGAGAGGGUGGCGGAAUUCCCCAAGUAGAGGUGAAAUUCGUAGAUAUGGGGAGGAACACCGGUGGCGAAGGCGGGCCGACCUGGGACCGGAACUGACG
rnacentral:rRNA from 1 species